rnacentral:rRNA from 1 species
AGUCAAACGGUAACAGGUCUUCGGAUGCUGACGAGUGGCGGACGGGUGAGUAAUGCGUAGGAAUCUGUCUUUGAGUGGGGGACAACCCAGGGAAACUUGGGCUAAUACCGCAUAAGCCCUGAGGGGGAAAGCGGGGGAUCUUCGGACCUCGCGCUGGAAGAGGAGCCUACGUCUGAUUAGCUAGUUGGUAGGGUAAAGGCCUACCAAGGCGACGAUCGGUAGCUGGUCUGAGAGGACGACCAGCCACACUGGGACUGAGACACGGCCCAGACUCCUACGGGAGGCAGCAGUGGGGAAUUUUUCGCAAUGGGGGCAACCCUGACGAAGCAAUGCCGCGUGAAUGAAGAAGGCCUUCGGGUUGUAAAGUUCUUUCGUGGAGGACGAAAAGGUGGGUGCUAAUAUCGCCUGCUGUUGACGUGAAUCCAAGAAGAAGCACCGGCUAACUCCGUGCCAGCAGCCGGGGGUA